UACGGGGGGGCAAGCGUUGUUCGGAAUUACUGGGCGUAAAGGGCUCGUAGGCGGCCAACUAAGUCGGACGUGAAAUCCCUCGGCUUAACCGGGGAACUGCGUCCGAUACUGGAUGGCUUGAGGUUGGGAGAGGGAUGCGGAAUUCCAGGUGUAGCGGUGAAAUGCGUAGAUAUCUGGAGGAACACCGGUGGCGAAGGCGGCAUCCUGGACCAAUUCUGACGCUGAGGAGCGAAAGCCAGGGGAGCAAACGGG
rnacentral:rRNA from 1 species